UUCGCCUGUUUAUCAAAAACAUCUUUUCUCGUUAGUUUUUGAAGUAUGGCCUGCCCGCUGACUUUGGUGUUGAAGGGCCGCGGUAUUUUGACCGUGCAAAGGUAGCAUAGUCAUUAGUUCUUUAAUUGUGAUCUGGUAUGAAUGGCUUGACGAGGCAUGGGCUGUCUUAAUUUUGAAUUGUUUAUUGAAUUUGGUCUUUGAGUUAAAAUUCUUAGAUGUUUUUAUGGGACGAGAAGACCCUAUAGAGUUUAACAUUUGUUAUGGUCCCCUUUCUGUUUGUGAGGGUUCAUUGGGCCGUUUAAUAUGUUUUGUUGGGGUGAUGGGAGGGAUUAAUUUAACCCCUCCUUUUUAUUAUUAUAUUUAUUUAUAUUUACUUGAUCCAUUUAUUUUGAUUGUAAGAUUAAAUUACCUUAGGGAUAACAGCUAAAGAAA
rnacentral:rRNA from 1 species